AGGGACGCUCUGUAGAUUCACCUCUACUCUGAUCAGGACAGAGCUGAUCAUCAUCAUGUAUUGCACAAGGUUGCAGUGGAUCCAGAAUCUAUUACAAGAGCAGCAGAUGUGACCCAAAAAUACAUCCGUGAUGGAAUUCAGAUUCACACACUAUUUCACACCUAGAGGCAAUUAAGAGUCACCAAAGGUCACCUAGAGGCAUGUUUUUGGAAGAGAAUGAAAGGAAAGCCAACUCGGAUUCACAUUUGGAGGUUGGAGCUAUAAUGGGGCUGAGUGGGACUUCAUUAAUCAACAGCGCUCUUUGACGAGGCUCUUCAUCGUCCUGAGUUCCGAAUUGUUUUUCAUGCUGCAUGCCAUUAAUUAAAGUCAUCAAAGCCAGCA